UACGGAGGUUCCCAGCGUUGUUCGGAAUUACUGGGCGUAAAGGGAGCGCAGGCGGGUUGCUAAGUCUAAAGUGGAAGCCCGGGGCUCAACCUCGGACGUGCUUUGGAUACUGGCAGUCUUGAGUUCGCGAGAGGAAAGCGGAAUUCCAGGUGUAGCGGUGAAAUGCUUAGAUAUCUGGAGGAACACCAGUGGCGAAAGCGGCUUUCUGGCGCGAAACUGACGCUGAGGCUCGAAAGCGUGGGGAGCGAACAGG
rnacentral:misc_RNA from 1 species